UUCUGUCAAAGGCAAGCUUACCGAAAGGUAAGGCACGCAAAGUUACCGGUCUACGGGGAGAUUUCUCUAUGACAGCGGGACUAUCGGA
rnacentral:ncRNA from 1 species